CCUACGGGCGGCAGCAGUCGAGAAUCAUUCACAAUGGGGGAAACCCUGAUGGUGCGACGCCGCGUGGGGGAAUGAAGGUCUUCGGAUUGUAAACCCCUGUCAUGUGGGAGCAAAUUAAAAAGAUAGUACCACAAGAGGAAGAGACGGCUAACUCUGUGCCAGCAGCCGCGGUAAUACAGAGGUCUCAAGCGUUGUUCGGAAUCACUGGGCGUAAAGCGUGCGUAGGCUGUUUCGUAAGUCGUGUGUGAAAGGCGCGGGCUCAACCCGCGGACUGCAAAUGAUACUGCGAGACUAGAGUACUGGAGUGGGAACCGGAAUUCUCGGUGUAGCAGUGAAAUGCGUAGAUAUCGGGAGGAACACUCGUGGCGAAGGCGGGUUCCUGGACAUUAACUGACGCUGAGGCACGAAGGCCAGGGGAGCGAAAGGGAUUAGAUACCCUAGUAGUC
rnacentral:rRNA from 1 species